rnacentral:rRNA from 1 species
UACGAAGGGAGCUAGCGUUGUUCGGAAUCACUGGGCGUAAAGCGCACGUAGGCGGAUGUGUCAGUCAGGGGUGAAAUCCCGGGGCUCAACCUCGGAACUGCCUUUGAUACAGCACGUCUUGAGUCCGAUAGAGGUGGGUGGAAUUCCAGGUGUAGCGGUGAAAUGCGUAGAUAUCUGGAGGAACACCGGUGGCGAAGGCGGCAUCCUGGACCGAGAUUGACGCUGAUGCGCGAAAGCCAGGGGAGCAAACGGGG